rnacentral:rRNA from 1 species
AACGGCCGUACCAUGCUGAAUAUACUGGUUCUCGUUAGAUCACCGAAGUCAAGCAUCAUUGGCGUGGUCAGUACUUGGGUGGGUGACCACCUGGGAACACCGCGUGCCGUU